GCGCCCGUAGCUCAGGGGACAGAGCAGCGGACUUCUAAUCCGCCGGCCGCAGGUUCGAAUCCUGCCGGGCGCG
rnacentral:tRNA from 2 species